UUAACCUCAGAUCAGGCAAGAUUACCCGCUGAAUUUAAGCAUAUUACUAAGCGGAGGAAAAGAAACUAACAAGGAUUCCCCUAGUAAUGGCGAAUGAAGAGGGAACAGCUCAACUUGAAAAUCUCCGUUGUGUUGCAACGGCGAAUUGUAGUUUCGAGAAGUACUUUCCCGGCGCAUCGGGUUUGCCUAAGUUG
rnacentral:rRNA from 1 species